GGUUGUGGCUCAUUGGUAGAGCACUUGCCUAGCACAUGUGAGGCACUGGGUUCAAUCCUCAGCACCA
rnacentral:tRNA from 1 species